GCGCGUGCUUAGAUCUUUCUUGGUACAUGCAUUGAAUGUCAAAGUCGAUUGGAUAUUCUGCUGCAGGAAAGCUGAUCUCCAUCUCGAAAGACCUCAAAUUGUUUCUGACUUUUCUUAGCUAUCAUCAGAAGUCCAACGUUUCUCUGUUUAGCGUUCUGGUUGCAACUGGUUCCCUUCACAAUCUUUUUACAGAAGUUACAGAACCAUAUUCAAAAACAUCCUUACAUGGAUUGUAUCAGAAAAGCUUUACCAUUUCUUAAAGCAAGAAACGAGGAGGAGGAAGAAGAAGAAGAGAGAUCUUCCAACUUCUUGAAGAAUGGAAGUCUAGUCUUGGAAGAGCUAAUUGAAUCUUUUGGAGGACGAUACAAGCUUCCAAUUAAAAGCUUCACUGCAAAACAACUCAUCAGGGCAUCGAACAAUUUCUCAGAGCAAGUUCCUCACAUGACUGAUAAUGGUUACAUGUUCAGAGGUAACUUAGAAGGCCGUCCAAUAUUAGUUAAACUUUACAGCAAUAUAGGCGACUCUGAUAAAUGCGUUCUUCGUGGAGCUACCCGCGACUUAGUGAUUACUUCACAGAUGAGCCACCUCAAGAAUGUCUUCAAGCUCAUUGGAUGCAGUUUUGAAUUCAAGUGUCCAGCUAUAGUGUAUGAAUGUGCUGGAACUGAACUUCUUGCCAAGUAUCUCAGCCACAAAAAUGAUGCUAAACGACUGUCUUGGGGAAGUAGAAUAAAGAUUGCCAAGGACAUCGCCAAUGUUAUUGGUUAUCUUCAUUCUGCGUUUCCUACACCGAUUAUUUAUAGAGAUUUGACGCCAAAUAAAGUGAUAAUAGACCAAUGUGGUGUUGCUAAACUUUUUGACUUCACAUUUUCAAUAUCUCUUCCUCCUGGAGAACUGCAGGUGGAAGAUCGUGUUAAAGGGACAUUUGGAUACUUAGAGCCUCAAUACACGAUUACAGGCUUUAUUACUCAGAAGACAGAUGUUUAUGGCUUUGGAAUGUUCAUGCUUGUGCUUUUCACUGGAGAAACAGCAAUGGUGAAGUAUCAAGAAGGAACAGUAGAACCGAUUCAUGUCAGAGAUUACAUCAAAGACUGCCUUGACAAUGCUCAAAUUAACCAAAUUUUGGAUCCACAGAUUUUUGAAGGAGAAAACAGUGACGGGCUCAGGCAGAAUUUGCUGGCGUUCCUGGAUCUGGCUUUAAGAUGCACAGAAUAUGAAAGAGCUGAUAGACCGGAUAUGCUUGAUGUUGCAAAAGAGCUCCUCCAUAUUGAGAAGGCUGUUCGUUGCUAGCUCUACCACCACCACCUGAUCAUUGAAUGAGCUCAAAGGCCCGAUCCAUGUUCUUACAGUACAGCUUCAAGAUACAGUAGUACGUCUGUAGGAAGUGAAGGAAUAUUGCAUUGGAUAAUCCAAAACAGACUGAGUGAUGCUGCAGGAAGAUUGUUGUUUCUAUAUAUUACGCCUCCUUAUCUCAUUUUUUGUAGAGGAACUCAAUCCCAGCUAAUAUUUUUGGAGGUCCAUUAUCUCUAUUAAUUACAAAAAAUAUAUAUAUAUUAUAAGGAUAUUACCAAGAGCUUUUUGAGUUAGUAUACUGAUCUUUCCUUCA